GGACUAUGCAUCUUACUUUUGGUCUCCAAUGCAAUCAGCUCUAAACUGUGCAAUAUAUAAUUUCACUGCAUCGCCCCUACAGGUUGAAAGAUAUCAUCCCCACAUUUUAGUGACACUUCAGAGCACUUUCCUGGGACUCCAAGUUCAGAAUUUAUUCCCUAAAGC